CCCUUAGAUGUUCUGGGCCGCACGCGUGCUACACUGAGUAAUUCAAUGGGUAAGGGAACGCUAGAGCAUUACCUAAUCUUGAAAUUUGCUCGUGAUGGGGAUCGACGGUUGCAAUUUUCCGGCGUGAACGAGGAAUACCUUGUAGGCGCAUGUCAUCAUCAUGCGCCGAAUACGUCCCUGCCCUUUGUACACACCGCCCGUCGCUCCUACCGAUUGAGUGAUCCGGUGAGGCUCUGGGACCUGGACGGAAAGAGCGUUUCGCUUGUUCUGUUUGGGAAACUUGGUCGAACCUUAUCAUUUAGAGGAAGGAGAAGUCGUAACA
rnacentral:rRNA from 1 species